rnacentral:rRNA from 1 species
UUGGCUCAGAAUGAACGCUGGCGGUAUGCUUAACACAUGCAAGUCGAACGGGAUGCUUAGGCAUCUAGUGGCGGACGGGUGAGUAACGCGUGAGAAUCUGGCUCCAGGUCGGGGAUAACAGUUGGAAACGACUGCUAAUACCGGAUGUGCCGAGAGGUGAAAGAUUUAUUGCCUGGAGAUGAGCUCGCGUCUGAUUAGCUAGUUGGUGGUGUAAGGGACCACCAAGGCAUCGAUCAGUAGCUGGUCUGAGAGGAUGAUCAGCCACACUGGGACUGAGACACGGCCCAGACUCCUACGGGAGGCAGCAGUGGGGAAUUUUCCGCAAUGGGCGAAAGCCUGACGGAGCAAUACCGCGUGAGGGAGGAAGGCUCUUGGGUCGUAAACCUCUUUUCUCAAGGAAGAAGAAAGUGACGGUACUUGAGGAAUAAGCAUCGGCUAACUCCGUGCCAGCAGCCGCGGUAAUACGGAGGAUGCAAGCGUUAUCCGGAAUGAUUGGGCGUAAAGGGUCUGCAGGUGGAACUGAAAGUCUGCUGUUAAAGAGUUUGGCUUAACCAAAUAAAAGCGGUGGAAACUACAGAACUAGAGUGCGGUAGGGGCAAAAGGAAUUCCUGGUGUAGCGGUGAAAUGCGUAGAUAUCAGGAAGAACACCGGUGGCGAAAGCGUUUUGCUAGACCGUAACUGACACUGAGGGACGAAAGCUAGGGGAGCGAAUGGGAUUAGAUACCCCAGUAGUCCUAGCCGUAAACGAUGGAUACUAGGCGUGGCUUGUAUCGACCCGAGCCGUGCCGGAGCUAACGCGUUAAGUAUCCCGCCUGGGGAGUACGCACGCAAGUGUGAAACUCAAAGGAAUUGACGGGGGCCCGCACAAGCGGUGGAGUAUGUGGUUUAAUUCGAUGCAACGCGAAGAACCUUACCAAGACUUGACAUCCUGCGAAUCCUGGUGAAAGCUGGGAGUGCCUUAGGGAGCGCAGAGACAGGUGGUGCAUGGCUGUCGUCAGCUCGUGUCGUGAGAUGUUGGGUUAAGUCCCGCAACGAGCGCAACCCUCGUUUUUAGUUGCCAGCAUUAAGUUGGGCACUCUAGAGAGACUGCCGGUGACAAACCGGAGGAAGGUGAGGAUGACGUCAAGUCAGCAUGCCCCUUACGUCUUGGGCUACACACGUACUACAAUGCUACGGACAGAGGGCAGCGAGCCAGGGAUGGCAAGCGAAUCCAGAAACCGUAGCUCAGUUCAGAUCGAAGGCUGCAACUCGCCUUCGUGAAGGAGGAAUCGCUAGUAAUUGCAGGUCAGCAUACUGCAGUGAAUUCGUUCCCGGGCCUUGUACACACCGCCCGUCACACCAUGGAAGUUGGUCACGCCCGAAGUCAUUACCCCAACCGAAAGGAGGGGGAUGCCUAAGGUAGGACUGG